AGAUAAUAUGGCAGCCUGAUUAUUAUAAUCCACAUGUCAAUACUUGGUGUGUCCAUUAAGUACUCAAGAUUUUGGUUCUCCAGUGGUACUCAGCCAUAGCCUUGGCUUGAGACUCCAAGAUGGCUUCAUUUACCUGUCUGAUAUGUCAGCAGAAUAGUCUCUUCAGCAUGGUGAGAUUAUCCUGGCCUCCCUGGCUAAGGGGCAGGAAAGAUAAUUUCAACUCAAGGAGAAAAGACAGACCCCAUGAGAAAUAGAAAAAAACAAACUUGCUUUCAUUUUGAGAGAAGGGGCUUCAAAGAAUCAUUGUUUCAACUUGUAUAAUCAGUUCACCAUGGCUUCCAUGCAUGGAGGAUCUCCUGAAAGCUAGAUACUGCUUAUCUGCAUGUUACCUGCCUUAUCUCUUAGAAUUACAGUUCUCUUAUGCCUACACAUUUGAAUAAGUCCCCCAAAGUCCUUAUGUUGAAAGCAGUCCCCAAUGUAGCAGCCUUUGAAGGAUAGGGUCUAAUGGGUGGUGAUUAGGUGAUUCGGUCUUUGCCUUCAGGAGUGGAUUAAAGGCAUCCAGUGAGUGGGUUGGUUCUCAAAAGAGGAAAUUUAUAAACUGUACCUUUUCUCCUGGUGUUACAUG